CCGAAACAAAACGAACUUGUUUGUUUGUGAAAAAAAGGAGUUAUCUAUGACAUUCUCAAGUCUUUAGUCUUUGUCUAUCGCUAUUAACGAGGAGUAACUUCUUUAUCAGUGCACUGUUUGACCUUAAAAGUGAGCUUUGAUUCUGCGGUCACUGUCCUCGAACUAGACAUUAUAACAUGCAAGUUCAACAAGAACCCACGGUACCUUCUGUCAACCUCAGCAUCGGCCGUUUACAGUCAUAUAACCUCAAACAUCUCUAAUAUCCAAAUCGCAUUAAUGAUGAACCACACGAUAAGAGUUGUAAGAUCAAGCUCCCCGAUGAAAACCAAUCGACACCUUUGUUUCCUAACCUCAAUCGCGUUGGUCAUCGUCCUGUUUUGGCCGGUCUUCGCGGACCGGAAAUGGCCGGACCAGCCGCGGGCGGAAGGAAGCGACGGAGGCGCAGCGACCGGACACCCAAACCGGAAGUCGGAUUCAAUCUCACCGGAAAUAGCGCGACUGGGGCGCUCUGUGCCCGAACCUGACUUCCAGCUCGACGAAGGGGCCUUGGAGGACGUUUUUGGGGCUGGAAAGAGUGACUACGAGGGGCCAGAGGAGCACGGUCGAAGAGUUAAGAGAGCUAUCCCUAACCAUCCCUUUUAAUCUGAUGUGAGAAACCGGCAGGGAUGCUGUGGCGAUUCUUGAAAGUUGGUGACUUUGAUUUUCCUCCAUUUAAAUGUAUGUAAAACAAUCGAUUAUUGGUGAGGCGACUUGUCUCGCCCAAAAUCGAUACAUCGUAUUCGAUGUAUCGUAUGGUUCAAAACAUACGACAUAACCUCAAACAAAAAUUUUAGGAUUUAAGUACGAAAAGCUGAAAAUGAGAAAACUCCUGACAACUCCACUUUUCAUUGCCAUUUUAUACUCAUCAGAAUCAAAAAUCUAGCACAAGGAACUCGUUCCCUCAAAUUAAUCAAUUGGCUUUUGAGGUUAUUAAUAUUAUUUUGAACCAAUCGAUAUCAAUAUAUCGCAUCAAUAGAAGGCCUAUUUGAUGUAUCGAAUACGAUCUAUUCGAUUUAAAUUGAGGAAAACAGUAUUGCCAACAGUGGCGUGGCGUGAAUUGCGAUGUAUCGAUUGUUAUGCCAUUUAAACGCAUGGUAAAGAAUCGAUUAUUAAGGUGUUCGCUGCGAACACCCUGUUUAUCGAUCCUUUUCCGUAGGUUUAAAUGGCAUAAAAAUCGAUAAAUCGCAAUUCACGCCACGCCACUGAUUGCCAACUUAAAAAAUCGCCACAGGAAGUGUGUAGAAAGCGAAUUCUAACGGGGUUGGGGGAAAAGCCGCUUGGACAUUCAAACUCUGCCGAAAUCCCUGUGGUAAAAAGCAAAUUUUUGGGUCACCUCUUUAAUCUUUGCUUUUAAUGUUUAGCGGAAAAUCCGUAAUUUCUUCUGAUAAACUUGCUGAUAUUAUUUCCGAGGUAAAAUAUUCAUAAGACAGAAUUUUUCCCUUAUCGAACCUAACUUAUUUUUGCGCUACGAUCACAGAUGUUUGUUUUACUGGCACCGAGUACUCGAUGCUUACGACCAAAACGUUAUCCUUGCAAUGGGAAAAUUGUGGAAGUUUAAUUAUUAUUACUUUGUAUUUAUGAUCAUUAUAAUGUUUAAGUCGUAGCUGUAUUGAUUUUUUUUGGAAUUUUCUGGAAAUUCUGUUUGAUUCGAAUUAUACAUUGAAUAAGUCCUCGGAGGUAGGUGAUUGCCUCGUUAUCAUACUUUUUGUGACAGACAAAACUGAAAGCCUUUGAAACAAAGUAUUCCCUUCGCCAUUAAUAGCUUUGUACAUUCUUAUUGCCAC
rnacentral:lncRNA from 1 species